AAUUGCGUACUUGUGUUUCGAGUUGCGUGGUCGUGCGGAGUUAUAUUUACCAAAUUUAAAUAUAAUCGUUUUCAAAAUUAAAUCAAUAUGUCAAUAUGGCUACUGGGUGUAAAAGAUAAAUCUUAUUCUAUCUGUUCUUAAUGAGUUUUAGAUAGUUUUAGUUGUAUUUCUUUGUAAUUUUGUGUUGUACAAAGAUUAAUUUAACAUUUUCUCUGGAAGUAUUAAUUUAGAAAGAUAAUAUGCUUCAUUGGUGUUGUGUUUUGAAGUGUGAAAUGCAAAGUAAUUGUGAUAAAGUCAAGAUAAAGUUCACUUUUAAACUGAACUAAAUAAGGUAUCUGAGAGACAACAAUGGUUAAAUGCAAUACAAUGUACAGGUUUUACUAGCGAAAUGAAAAUUUUCCUGUCCUGUCUGCUGUAAUCAUUUUAUAUCUGGAAAACCAGCCGACUUAAUCGAUAAUAACAAUCUCCAGAUUGGGUUCCUUCAAUAAAUAUGGUCUAUAAACACAAUGAAAUAAGUUCCCCAAAAUCUAAAAUGGAGUGGUAUCAAAGGAGAAUUAAAGGGAAAAAUAUUCAUAUUGAAAUUAUUUAUAAGGCACUGGACUGUCUUAAAUUCUACAAUAAUACUAGAAUCAGCUGAGAGAAGUGGUCUACAAAAAACCAGGAAGGAAACGGAAUAUGUGGCUACGAAAGGCAAAAGAAAGGUUUACAAAGCAAAUGUGACACAUUUUUUUGAAAUAUUUAGGAAUAUCAGUAAAUUGCAUUAAACAAAUGUAUGAAAAGAUUUUGUUCAAUAAAAAUGUUUAUAUUUA